AGCUCCAAUAGCGUAUAUUAAAGUUGUUGCAGUUAAAAAGCUCGUAGUUGGAUUUCUGGUGGGAGGGAUCGGUCCUGCAUUCAAUGUAGGAACUUGUAUCCUCUCCGGCCAUCCUUGGGUGGAUCUUGUCUGGCAUUAAGUUGUCAGUCAGGGGAUGCCCAUCGUUUACUGUGAAAAAAUUAGAGUGUUCAAAGCAGGCUUAUGCCAUUGAAUAUAUUAGCAUGGAAUAAUAAGAUAGGGCCCUGGUACUAUUUUGUUGGUUUGCGUACCGAGGUAAUGAUUAAUAGGGACAGUUGGGGGUAUUUGUAUUCAGUAUUCAGUGGUGAAAUACUUAGACCUACGGAAGACAAACUACUGCGAAAGCAUUUACCAAGGAUGUUUUCA
rnacentral:rRNA from 1 species